rnacentral:rRNA from 1 species
CUAAGAAUAUUCCGCAAUGGACGAACGUCUGACGGAGCGACGCAGCGUGGAUGAAGAAGGCCGCAAGGUUGUAAAAUCCUUUUGCUGGGGAAGAAUAAGUCCAGGAGGGAAUGCCUGGAUGAUGACAUGAACCGGCGAAUAAGCCCCGGCCAACUACGUGCCAGCAGCCGCGGUAACACGUAGGGGGCAAGCGUUGUUCGGAAUUAUUUGGCGUAAAGGGCAUGUAGGCGGUUUAGUAAGCUUGGCGUGAAAGACCACAGCUCAACUGUGGGGUUGCGUUGAGAACUGCUGAACUUGAGUUACGGAGAGGGAGCUAGAAUUCCUGGUGUAGGGGUGGAAUCUGUAGAGAUCAGGAAGAAGACCGUUGGCGAAGGCAAGCUUCUUGCCGAUAACUGACGCUGUGGUGCGAAAGUGUGGGGAUCGAACA